rnacentral:rRNA from 1 species
UCCGGUGGUUCUGAAUGGAAGGGCCAUCGCUCAACGGAUAAAAGGUACUCCGGGGAUAACAGGCUGAUUCCGCCCAAGAGUUCAUAUCGACGGCGGAGUUUGGCACCUCGAUGUCGGCUCAUCACAUCCUGGGGCUGUAGUCGGUCCCAAGGGUAUGGCUGUUCGCCAUUUAAAGUGGUACGUGAGCUGGGUUUAAAACGUCGUGAGACAGUUUGGUCCCUAUCUGCAGUGGGCGUUGGAAGUUUGACGGGGGCUGCUCCUAGUACGAGAGGACCGGAGUGGACGAACCUCUGGUGUACCGGUUGUGACGCCAGUCGCAUCGCCGGGUAGCUAAGUUCGGAAGAGAUAAACGCUGAAAGCAUCUAAGCGUGAAACUCGCCUGAAGAUGAGACUUCCCUAGGGAUUAAAUCCCUCUAAAGAGACGUUCGAGACCAGGACGUUGAUAGGUCGGGUGUGGAAGAGUGGUAACACUUGCAGCUAACCGAUACUAAUUGCUCGUGAGGCUUGACUCUAU